CCUACGGGUGGCAGCAGUGGGGGAUAUUGCACAAUGGGGGAAACCCUGAAGCAGUGACGCCGCGUGAGUGAAGAAGUAUUUCGGUAUGUAAAGCUCUAUCAGCAGGGAAGAAAAUGACAGUACCUGACCAAGAAGCCCCGGCUAACUACGUGCCAGCAGCCGCGGUAAUAGGAAGGGGGCAAGCGUUAUCCGGAUUUACGGGGUGUAAAGGGAGCGUGGACGGUUAUGUAAGUCUGGAGUGAAAGCCCGGGGCCCAACCCCGGGACUGCUUUGGAGAGUGGGUAACUUGAGUACAGGAGGGGCAGGCGGAAUUCCUGGGGUAGCGGUGAAAUGCGUAGAGAUCAGGAGGAACACCGGCGGCGAAGGCGGCCUGCUGGACUGAAACUGACGUUGAGGCUCGAAAGCGUGGGGAGCAAACAGGAUUAGAUACCCCGGUAGUC
rnacentral:rRNA from 1 species